UUCCUAAGAGCUUUGCUUGAUUGAUUGAUUGCUUGAGUAUACACUUAUUUUCUUGCUUAUUCCAAAGGAUGGGAGCUACUUGGAUCAUCAAUAUGAUCUCAAGAAGGAAACUCUAUUUGUGGUCUUAUUUAUUUCCCUUCAUCUCUUGUAUGAUUAGGACUUAGCCAUUCUUCUUCUUCCCUCCACUCUAACCCAAGCCAAAACUUUUGUGCAAACAUUAACAUUUCUUUUCAACAUUAGAAACCUAAGCAUUAUGCUUUUGAUUUUUU
rnacentral:lncRNA from 1 species